rnacentral:rRNA from 1 species
AUGAACGCUGGCGGCGUGCCUAAUCCAUGCACGUCGAGCGAACGGACGAGAAGCUUGCUUCUCUGAUGUUAGCGGCGGACGGGUGAGUAACACGUGGAUAACCUACCUAUAAGACUGGGAUAACUUCGGGAAACCGGAGCUAAUACCGGAUAAUAUUUUGAACCGCAUGGUUCAAAAGUGAAAGACGGUCUUGCUGUCACUUAUAGAUGGAUCCGCGCUGCAUUAGCUAGUUGGUAAGGUAACGGCUUACCAAGGCAACGAUGCAUAGCCGACCUGAGAGGGUGAUCGGCCACACUGGAACUGAGACACGGUCCAGACUCCUACGGGAGGCAGCAGUAGGGAAUCUUCCGCAAUGGGCGAAAGCCUGACGGAGCAACGCCGCGUGAGUGAUGAAGGUCUUCGGAUCGUAAAACUCUGUUAUUAGGGAAGAACAUAUGUGUAAGUAACUGUGCACAUCUUGACGGUACCUAAUCAGAAAGCCACGGCUAACUACGUG